GCUUGGGAAUACACCAAGUGUGAGCGACGUGUCUUGACCUCAAUCUAUUUAGCAUUUGUUUUUAUUUGGACAGAAAGCUCAAUUGGGCGAAACAGACCUUGGCUGAUCUCAUAGCAGAAGCAUAGCAUUACAGCAAAGAACAACUAUAGAUCAUUACUAUCCUAGCUACGACUAACUAAUUACCAAACACCAUUGAGCAGAAAAAUGCAAGACGAUGCAUAAAUUAGUAACAUGAAAAUGAGCAACACUCAAAAUACAUCAGAACCCACUACUGGAAGAUAUACUGCUUGAUCUCUGAGUGCCUGUAGGGCCAUUACUGGUUUUGCUAAUGAUUCCUUUUCCA
rnacentral:misc_RNA from 1 species